GCACUGUGCAAACAGACAGUAAGAGACAGUCCCUGCCCUCAAAGAACUUACAAUCUAAAUAGACAAGACUGACAAAGAAUGAGAGGGGAAACGGGGGGGAAGUAGUAAAGUAACUUGCCCAAGGUCACAGCAGUUCUGUGGCAAAGUCACAGGUCUCCAGAUUCCCAGACCAGUACUCUACCCACUGGACACAACCACCUCUCUCUUUGGCUCUUGGUGUCCUAUAUAAAGUUUUUUUUUAAACAAAAAACUUAAAAUCUCUAAUUGUCAAAAUUUUCCCCUCCAUUCUUGUAAAUGGAGAGAGGUCUUCCCAUGGAUUCCAGCUGGAGGAAAGCGUAAGUGGGAAGUGCUGGCUCUUCACCCUGUUUUCCCUUGCCCCUCCACCACCCCCUCUGGGAGUUUUCCCUCCAUAGACAGAGAGAGGGGGCUGCCAGUAGAGUUGUGUGAAUAAGUUUUGUUUUGUUUUUUUUUUUCCCCCAGAUCACUGACAGUUACAGG